ensembl:lncRNA
CGCCCUUCCCUUAGGUGUCUUUUACCGACAAAGGGAGACCCCCGCUUCGGCCGGGCCCGCCCGUCACCUUGUCCCUUUCCUACCCGGGGCAUCCUCCGUGAGCGCCAAAGGUGAGGAGCUCGGGGACUCCCAGAGGAGCCUUGUCCCCUCACUCCCUUGUGCUUGUAGCGAGUUAUUGCAUCAGAUCAGUUUGUCUCCUUUCCCGCUUCCUCAACCUCAGGCUAGAGGGAGACCCAAGAGGCUCCAGACCAGAGGUUCCCGGCUACCCCAGCUCGUUGCUUUUGCUCAGGCAGAACCAGAGGCUCUCCCCACGGUGGAGAAGCGGCGGGAGAAGCCGGGCCUCUGAGCGGCCCGAGUCAUGGGCCCAAGCCAGCCCGCUGGAACGGGGAGCCUGGCGCCCCUCAGCAACGCCCCCUUCCCAGGGCCCAGAGCGGCCACCCGAGCAUCCUUUCCUUGGGAGCCCGGCGCCCCUCGGCAACGCCCCCUUCCCAGGGCCCAGAGCGGCCACCCGAGCAUCCUUUCCUUGGGAGCCCGGCGCCCCUCGGCAACGCCCCCUUCCCAGGGCCCAGAGAGGCCACCCGAGCAUCCUUUCCUUGGGAGCCCAGCGCCCCUCGGGGACCCCCCUUCCCAGGGCCCAGAGCGGCCACCCGAGCAUCCUUUCCUUGGGAACCCGGCGCCCCUCGGCAACGCCCCCUUCCCAGGGCCCAGAGCGGCCACCCGAGCAUCCUUUCCUUGGGAGCCCGGCGCCCCUCGGCAACGCCUCCUUCCCAGGGCCCAGAGAGGCCACCCGAGCAUCCUUUCCUUGGGAGCCCAGCGCCCCUCGGGGAGCCCCCUUCCCAGGGCCCAGAGCGGCCACCCGAGCAUCCUUUCCUUGGAGACCGGCGCCCUCAGCCCCUUCCCAGGGCCCAGGCGGCCACCCAGAGCAUCCUUUCGCCAGGAACCCGGCGCCCCUCGGCAACGCCCCCUUCCCAGGGCCCAGAGCGGCCACCCGAGCAUCCUUUCCUUGGGAGCCCGGCGCCCCUCGGCAACGCCCCCUUCCCAGGGCCCAGAGCGGCCACCCGAGCAUCCUUUCCUUGGGAGCCUGGCGCCCCUCAGCAACGCCCCCUUCCCAGGGCCCAGAGCGGCCCCCCGAGCAUCCUUUCCUUGGGAGCCCGGCGCCCCUCGGCAACGCCCCCUUCCCAGGGCCCAGAGCGGCCACCCGAGCAUCCUUUCCUUGGGAGCCCGGCGCCCCUCGGCAACGCCCCCUUCCCAGGGCCCAGAGAGGCCACCCGAGCAUCCUUUCCUUGGGAGCCCGGCGCCCCUGGGGGGGGGGGCUCGGCUCCCCAGCUCUGCCUCGGGGAGGACCGUGAGGAGGACUCCCUCGGGAAUCUCGGCCAGUGGCUCUCCAAUCCGAUCCGCCCGCUCCUGCGGGAGCACAAAGGUCCCCACUCACAGGUGGGUGAGGAGCGUGCCCCAGGUGCAGAAACCGGGUGCAGCCUGUGGCUGGGUCUUACCGCAAGCCUCAGGCUCCUGAUUCCAGGGCCGGGGCUCUAUGGGGGGCCGCCCCCCCAGCUGCCAUUUCCCCACUAACUAUAGUCUUUCUACUGUGCACAUACCCCUCCCUCCUCCCCCCCCCCAGGCUAGAACCACAACCCAGCCCACUCUGGGGGCUCCCCGGGGCCCACAGCCUCCUGCUUGUGCCACCUUUUCUUCAGAAUGUGCUCCUGGAAGAGAGGGAUUAUUUUACAGCCAGACUGGGAAUCCCCAGGAGCCGAGUUCAAAUCCAGGCAGAGGCACUUAACAUCUGUUGGGCUCAGUUUUCCCAGCUGUAAAAUGGGGGUAAACGCGGGACUUACCUCCCAGGGCUGCCGUGAGCCUCCAACAUGAGAGAAAUUAUAAAGUGCUUGGCCCAGUGCCUGGCACAACCUGCAAAGUUGCUCAGAAGCUUUCGUUCCCAGGCGAAGAUGAGCACGGUUUGUGUGUGAGAUUCACGCCGGUCAGGAAGGAAGGAGAUUCUUCGCGCAGCCCAAGGACCUCCCACUGCCUCCAGGUGGCUCCCGGAGAGAAAGGUGACCUUGCCCAGCCUCCCUCACUUCAUUCCCACUUGAAAAAUCCAGUUCAGACCCCUCCCAGAAGUCAGGGGCCUCUGAGAACGAAGGGCAGACAAUGGCCUCCCUCCUCUCUCCCUAGAGGGUGUUACAGCCUUAGCUGAGGGCGCCGAUGGCUGACACCCCACAAGGUGUCUCGGGCUUCGAGGGCUAGAUUCCUUUCUCACGGAUCGGCCCCAAACCCUAGUGGCUCUGGUCCUCGGGGACUGGCCAAAACUGGGACCCAGGCCGAGCCCCCCCGGCCACUGAGUCCCCUCUGCCCAGGGGGAGGGUAGACAGCACUGGCCAUUCGCCCUGAGUGUCUCCCCCUGCCCCCCAAGGAUUUUUGUUGAUUCGGAAAGACCCUCCAGUCGUCCUGAUCCAUCUCUUGUCACUGGCCCCAGCAGAGAGAGUGAGGCUGGUGAUUGCUGAGCCCUCCCUCACUGAAGUCCAAUUCAUUCACGUGUCCAACCCGUGUCCCCCCCCAAAACCGCAGCCUCACCCCGGUAAAUAAUCACACAUCCCCAUUGCUAGGACUCUACAUCUGGGGGGAGGGGGGAUCUCCUUGGGGAAGGAGAAGGUUCCCUCCUGAAUCAGCUCGGGGAGUCUCUUCACCUGAGAGCUCCCCACACCGUGAUGUCCCAAAUCUAGCCCACGUUCAGUGUUUAGAAACCACAAUAAUUCCCCUUUCUACUCAGCUAAAUUUGUGUUAAUUGACUUCUUAUAUUUUCUUUUUUUGGUUGUUUUUUGUUUGUUUUGUUUUGUUUUUUAUUUUUUUGACUUCUUAUAUUUUCAUAUUAUGAAUUACAAAGUUCAUUUAAGGGGAAAUUACCCUUUCAGGGAGCUAUUUUUCAGCCCUUUUUGAGUCUCCCAUAUAAGGGAGGCAGUUCAGGGAAUUCAUCUUUCAGAUGAGGAAAUCAAGGUUGAGAAAACUGAAGUGAUUUGCUUCAAGUCCACAGAUCAUAAAUUAUAGAUCGGGAAGGUGACAGCAGGUCACCUCACAAUUUUCCCAUUGCUCAGAUUUUGAUGUCUGCAAUUCCUACUAGUUUUCCUUUGCAAGAUGAAUUUGAUCGAGUCUUCUAUCUUCUGAGUGGGAUGAUGGAAAAAGCAUUGGCUGAGGAGUCAGUGUACCCCACUUCCAGUUCCAGUCCUGUUUCUAAGUAGGAUCAUAACAGAGUCCAUCUAGUCUCAUUUUACAGAUGUGGAAACUGAGGCCCAGGGAGGUCUAAGUGACUUGCCCUUUCAAUUACAGGGAGGGAUUUAUAAUAACCAGAGAUCAGACUUACACAGAACUUUAUUCUCGAGAAACAUAUGCUGGCUUAAAUCUUGCUUUCAACACUGUGCUUCUUAGUUGUGGGGCCAUGGCGACAUCAUUUACAUCCCUGUAUCUGUUCUUUAUCCUUAAAAUAGAGGUAAUCACACCUUUAGUGUUGGACUAAUGAGAUCAUUGGCAUAAUCAAAUAAAGUGUUUUAUGAACCUGAGAGCACCAUUUCAAUGUCAGCUCUUAUUGUUAUAAAAAGCUUUACACCCAUUAACUCAUGGGUUUACAACAGCAUUCCAGGAAAAGUAGACAAGGGAUUGUAAUCCCAUUAUACAGAUGAGGAAAACAAAGCUCAAAGCAGUUACAGUUGUUCAGUCAAGUCCUACUCUUGGUGGCCUAGCUCUUUGGGGGUUUUCUUGGUAAAGAUAUCAAAGGGAUGCAUCACUUUCUUCUCCACCCCAUUUUACAGUGGAGCAACCUGAGGCAAACAGGAUGAAGUGAACUGCCCAGGAUCACACAGCUAGGAAGGGUCUGAGUCUGGAUUUGAACUUGAGGAGAUGAGUCUUUCCAAGUCCAGACCCAGUGCCCUAUGGCGCCCCUAGCUGCCCAUCAGGGAUUUGUCAGUGAGUAAGUACCAAGGCCACAGCCACCACUUGGACUCAGGUUUUUAAACAGCAACAACAAUUACUACUACUACUACUUCACUACUACUAUUACCACUACUGCUUUACUACUUUUCUAUUAUUACUAGUACUUUACUACUACCAUUACUACUACUGCUUUACUACUUUACUGUUAUUACUACUACUUUACUACUACUGCUUUAUUACUUCACUAUUAUUACUACUUUACUACUACCAAUACUACUACUGCUUUAUUACUUUACUACUAUUACUACUACUACUUUACUACUACCAUUACUACUACUGCUUUACUACUUUACUACUAUUACUAGUACUUUACUACUACCAAUACUACUACUGCUUUAUUACUUUACUACUAUUACUACUACUACUACUUUACUACUACCAUUACUACUGCUGCUUUACUACUUUACUAUUAUUACUAGUACUUUACUACUACCAUUACUACUACUGCUUUAUUACUUUACUAUUAUUACUACUACUUUACUACUACCAUUACUACUGAGGCAGGAGUGAGUCAGGAUAAUUAGGGAAACUGAGUCAGGAGAAUAGAGAGAACUGCGGCAUAACACUUUAUGGCUGGGAUCAUCACCUUUGUUUUUGUAAGUCUGAUAGGGGCAAUCCUGAAACUCUCUUGACUUUGGAGUAACCGCUUAAGAAACUCCUUCAAGGGGAGAAAUUCUUGAACUCUCAGGCUGAGAAAGACCAGCCCAGGGAAUCAAGAUAAGUAGUUUCAUUCUGUGACACCCUCCACCCUCUAUUGAAUUGAAGAUUAGUCCAAGGACACUCAUUCAAUUGGAAAUCUUCUAUUCAAUUGGAAGAUUUGGGUCUGAUUUCAACUCAAGCUGCCCCCAGCUUCCCAGGCAAGACAAAACAGAAUGCUGCUUGCUCGUCUUUUUUGCAGAGGACCUAAAAAGCAGGACCAUGCCAGGCCAAGGGACCUCUCCUUGGCACAGCUGCCUGCCGGGACCCCCUACCCUUUUUUAUUUUUCUGCCAGGACUCUUCUGCUAGGCCUUUACUUCUCUGUCGGGACCUUGCCCCUGAGGGAGCCAACCUCCAAGCACAGGCUGACUUUCCAGUAACAAUAAACUCCUCUUUCCCAGUCUAAUUUUUCGGGUUCAUAAAUUCCUUUACGACGGACCUGCGCGGAGCAGAAGGGGUUCCCACAACUCUCUGCCCUGUGCCAAACCCCAUUAACUCCAUCUCCAGUAGGUAUCUAAAUGCAUGACGAAUUUAGUUGAAGUCUUUUAUUUCUUCAUUUGUUCCGUUUUAUUUCUCUAUGGCACCUUUGUUAAAUCCACUUUGCCUUUUAGUUGCCUUUCCAGAUAAGGGAAGUUUCUCCCUUCUCCCUCCCCCAUAGUUUGGACCUCUUAAUCAUCCAAAAUCCCGGUCCAAUAAAAAAGGUACUCAGUUAUGUCAACACUGUGUGACUUUUCAUUCCCGCCGUCUUUAGAAAAUGGCAGAUCUCCGCUUUGCGGCUUUGUGUUUGUGGAGGUUGUUGCUUCUCUGACAAAGCCCGUGUGCCACUUACGGGCGUUGCCGCUUAGAGAAGCAAGGCUUCCCCCUGUGCUUUUUCUUCACUGAAGUGCACAGUUAAUCCGCACAUCCAAGGCUUCAGCCUUUCCUCCAAUUUUUAGAGUUCUCCUGGGUUAACUUGCACAUCACAAACCUUACUGUAGAUUUGCUUUCCCUCUGGAAGCUGCGGAAAACUCCCAGAGAAGGAAUCAUUUUUCUAUUUUGGAGCCAGCCCCGUUUGGCAAAGCAUCUCUUCAAGAUAAGGCCCAAUGGCUCCGGAUUUUCAGUGUCUCCUCCUCUUGUUUUCCAUCUUUUAUCGAAAACUCUGCCAUUUUUGCUAUAAAGUGGUUGCGACUUCUUGUGCUUGAGUUGUCCCAACCGUCCCCUUGGAAGUGCUGUCGGAACCCGCAGGCCCACGAGGCCGUUUUGGGAAUAAAUGUUGCCGGCAGCUCCCUUCGCCGUGCGGGGUUCUGCUCGUAGGGGCCCUUAGCAGACGAUAAACUGGACUGGGGCAUUUUCCUAAGGUGGCCCUGCUGCCCUUUCCUCGGGGGUCCCACCGAUGGCUUCUGCCCUGCACCCCCUCCCCCACCAGUCACCCCCAUCCCUUACCUAGGGCCUUCGCUCACACAAUUUCAUUGCAAAGGACGCCGGGAAAGCAUUGACUUCAGCCCAUACCUGCAGCGAAGCCCUGCCUGGGGGUGACAAAGGGUUAGGCAAGACAUGGAGCUUCCUGUGGCAGGGGAACCUUUGCCCGCCCCGGGCGUUACUUUGAU